CUGGACAGGCCACCCUAGCUGGAGAGAGACGGGUUUUGAGCUUCACGACAUCGGAUUCUCUGCCAGGAAACGAGGAGAAGCAUGCCAAGAGAAGAAUUGGACCCCCAAAAAGGGCCAGCCAAGAGCAAUGCCAGGAGCAGGGCUCUGAGAAUCCACCUUCUCUCCCUGAAGGCAUCAGCUACCUUCUCAGAACAGGUGAGCCUUCAGAUGACACCACAAAUGCUGGGCUGACACAUUGAUUGCAACCUUGUGAAAGACUGUGAAGCCGAGGAUCCAACCAAGCUGUGCCUGGAUUCCUGACACACAGGAAUUCCUGA